rnacentral:rRNA from 1 species
UACGUAGGGCGCAAGCGUUAUCCGGAAUUAUUGGGCGUAAAGAGCUCGUAGGCGGUUUGUCGCGUCUGCCGUGAAAGUCCGGGGCUCAACUCCGGAUCUGCGGUGGGUACGGGCAGACUAGAGUGAUGUAGGGGAGACUGGAAUUCCUGGUGUAGCGGUGAAAUGCGCAGAUAUCAGGAGGAACACCGAUGGCGAAGGCGGCUAUCUGGACUGUGAUUGACGCUGAGGCGCGAAAGCGUGGGGAGCAAACAGG